GUGAGGAAUUUUCCGCAAUGGGCGAAAGCCUGACGGAGCAAAGCCGCGUGAAGGAUGAAGGCCUAUGGGUUGUAAACUUCUUUUCUCAGAAAAGAAUUAUGACGGUAUCUGAGGAAUAAGCAUCGGCUAACUCUGUGCCAGCAGCCGCGGUAAGACAGAGGAUGCAAGCGUUAUCCGGAAUGAUUGGGCGUAAAGCGUCUGUAGGUUGUUUAAAAAGUAUUCUGUCAAAGAUUAGGGCUUAACCCUAGAUAGGCAGAAUAAACUUUUAAGCUAGAGUUUGGUAGAGGCAGAGAGAAUUCCCGGUGGAGCGGUGAAAUGCGUAGAUAUCGGGAGGAACACCAAAGGCGAAGGCACUCUGCUGGGCCAAUACUAACACUGAGAGACGAAAGCGAGGGGAGCAAAUGGGAUUAGAAACCCGGGUAGUCC
rnacentral:rRNA from 1 species